UACGGAGGAUGCGAGCGUUAUCCGGAUUUAUUGGGUUUAAAGGGAGCGUAGACGGGUCCUUAAGUCAGUUGUGAAAGUUUGCGGCUCAACCGUAAAAUUGCAGUUGAUACUGGGGACCUUGAGUGCGGCAGAGGCAGGCGGAAUUCGUGGUGUAGCGGUGAAAUGCUUAGAUAUCACGAAGAACUCCGAUUGCGAAGGCAGCUUGCUGUGCCGAAACUGACGCUGAGGCACGAAAGCGUGGGGAGCGAACAGG
rnacentral:rRNA from 1 species